rnacentral:rRNA from 1 species
GAUGAACGCUGGCGGCGUGCCUAAUACAUGCAAGUCGAGCGAACAGACGAGGAGCUUGCUCCUCUGACGUUAGCGGCGGACGGGUGAGUAACACGUGGAUAACCUACCUAUAAGACUGGGAUAACUUCGGGAAACCGGAGCUAAUACCGGAUAAUAUAUUGAACCGCAUGGUUCAAUAGUGAAAGACGGUUUUGCUGUCACUUAUAGAUGGAACCGCGCCGCAUUAGCUAGUUGGUAAGGUAACGGCUUACCAAGGCAACGAUGCGUAGCCGACCUGAGAGGGUGAUCGGCCACACUGGAACUGAGACACGGUCCAGACUCCUACGGGAGGCAGCAGUAGGGAAUCUGCCGCAAUGGGCGAAAGCCUGACGGAGCAACGCCGCGUGAGUGAUGAAGGUCUUCGGAUCGUAAAACUCUGUUAUUAGGGAAGAACAAAUGUGUAAGUAACUAUGCACGUCUUGACGGUACCUAAUCAGAAAGCCACGGCUAACUACGU